rnacentral:lncRNA from 1 species
AAUGCAUUCAUGAUGGCCUGAGAUACAGCAACUUAAACCAUGCACAAGCUGCCCCUCUCUCAGACACCCCCCUUCACUCACCAACACCAGAUACCCAUAUAUGGUUUAAGAAAAUGAAUGAGACAAACUCUAGCAAAAGACAAAAGAUGUGGCAUACUAGGAGGAAUGGAGUUCCAGCUGACAGCCUGAUGAGUCCCAGUUGACAGCAGCAGCAACUGCCAGCCAUGUGAAUGACCGUCUUGACCAUCCUGUCCAAUCAAUUCUAGAAAUGGCAUCUGUUUCCAGCUAACACCUGAUUCCUGCUGACAUCUGAUUGCAAAUACAUGAGCUGCUCCAAGAAAUAACUUCCUGAUCGAGACAUUUCCUAAAUCCUGAUCCACAUUAUUGUGAGAAAAAUUAAAUAGUUGUUUUAAUUGACUAAAUUCUGUGUCACUUCACUAGAAGACUAUUUCAUGUUU